UACAGAGGGUGCGAGCGUUGUUCGGAAUUAUUGGGCGUAAAGCGCGUGUAGGCGGCUUUGCAAGUCGGGUGUGAAAGCCCUCAGCUCAACUGAGGAAGUGCGCCCGAAACUGCAGAGCUUGAGUUCCGGAGAGGAUGGCGGAAUUCCCGAAGUAGAGGUGAAAUGCGUAGAUAUCAGGAGGAACACCGGUGGUGUAGACGGCUUUCUGGACCGUAACUGACGCUGAGACACGAAAGCGUGGGUAGCAAACAGGA
rnacentral:rRNA from 1 species